CCACUAUUGAUGUCAUUGAUGAAGAUGCUGAAGAGCGGUACUGACCCUGAGAGACACCGCUCAUCACUGAUCUCCAUUGACCACCACUCUCACUCAUGUUCCAUGAAUAUUUGCAUGUCAAUGGGCCUGGUCGCUGCCGAUUUCUGCCAAAAUCAUCUCUCAAAGCCAUAGUGCUUAUACUUUUUGUCAUUCUUAAAGAAGACAUGGUGUGGAGUGAAGCCUUCCCCAAUGUUUUGGGGCUGAUAACCAUCAUCUCCAUAUGUGAAAAGAAGGUUUACUUGGCAUCAUCUCCUUGGUCAAGGGGCUCCUGAGUCACAAUAAGCUCAUGGCUUUUUGCUUUUUUUUUUUUUGUUAAAUCUCUCUCUUAAUUGCUUUAUUUUAAGUGCAGUACUUUACAUCAAAAACUCAUCAUCCAGUCUCAUGAGCUCUGCUUCCUCCAUCCUGACUUCAACUUGGUGCAAACAGAUCAUCCAAAGAAGCAGCCACCUAGCACGGAUGGUGCUUAUCUUUGCCUUUGCCUUGACUUUCUGUUUAUACAUGAUUAUGAUACGAGGCUUAUAUUGAAUUAUGUUAGCUGAAGAUAACCCACUUGUUUACGUUGGCUUUGAUGACACCAGAAAUGAAGCUCCAGCAGCAUGCAGCAGCUGGCUCCUGACACAUCCUCCAUGUGAGAGCUGUGCAAAGGAGAUCAUUCUGGCUUUGUAAUAAAUGCAAUGCCCUUUGCCUUCGCAAGCAUCGAGUUGAGCUGAGUUGCAUGUAGUCGAGUGUUGUAAUGCAUUAACUGAGUGAGACUCAGUAGAUGCAGCCCCUCAGAGGAUUUCCAUCUCCUUUUCCUUCCAGUACCUGCCACUAGACCCCGCCUGUUCCUUGGGACCAUCUUGCACGUGUGUGAGGCCAGCAGCUGUGGGGCAUGGGAUGCUGCUGCACAGCCACGUUGUGUUCAAUUUAAGUCAUUUUGGGCUACCUUUGAUUUUUUCCUCAUUUAUGUGUUUCCUGCUUGGAGGCCCCAGGCUACAAACCUUAGGCAGGAAAUUUAAGGGAAGACCUUUAUACAGAUAUACAAAAAAGUUUGUAAAAGAUAUACAAACUUUUGCAGGAGGCUGAAUGAAAGCAGGCAGAAAAUUGUGCACUGGGAAUAAACAUUCCAUAAGAGGAGGAAAUUCGUGUUUAAUACAAACCCCACCACUCCCAUGGCUUUGCUCCAGUAAGGAAACCACAGAAAUUUGGAGGCACCUUCGCUCGUGCAUGCAUGUGGGUGUCCUAGAUGUAAGUGAGGGCCUCCCAAAGUCAGUGAGGGGCCCCAGAAUCUUCACCUUGGAUGCCACUGUCUAUGUCCUGACAUCCUCACUUAACAGGGAUGAGUUACCCAUGGGAAAGAAUCCUUCUGAUCAGUAAACACCAAGAGAAACAAGUCCUUGCCUAUCAACCAAAAUGCUGCAAUUGCUUCUCAUUGUGCCAACGUAGCUUUCCUGCAGGCAGCAACUUGAGCAACUAAAAAACUAGGUGGUGCUGCCUCAUCUCUGGGACGGAAGGAAAAAAGUAAGUGCUGAUGGAUCGUCGUUUUCCUCCCAGUCCAUUGCUAAUUCAGCAAGGAUCUCCAACGCUGCAGGGCUUGGUUGUGCACCUUGAAGGUGAAGAGGAAUGAGCAGCUGGAGAAAUGGGUGAGGGGCUGUGGGACACGUUGGCCUGGGUGACUGCUGAUGUCCAUCCUCGGAGCAACAGAAGUGCUAAAGUCUGCACUGGAGAAGAGCUAUUUGAGAGCUCUGAAAUAAGGUUCAGUUUAGCAAGAGAAACCUCAGCUUUGAAGAUGUUACUGGAAAUUGUGCUGAAGUUUUCAAAUUUUAAGAGGAACAAAAAGGGCGUGAAAGCUUC
ensembl:lncRNA